rnacentral:rRNA from 1 species
UGAGGAAUAUUGGUCAAUGGGCGGAAGCCUGAACCAGCCAUCCCGCGUGCAGGAAGACAGCCCUAUGGGUUGUAAACUGCUUUUCCAGUGGGCGAAACACUCGUACGUGUACGGGAUUGACGGUACACUGGGAAUAAGCAUCGGCUAACUCCGUGCCAGCAGCCGCGGUAAUACGGAGGAUGCGAGCGUUAUCCGGAUUUAUUGGGUUUAAAGGGUGCGUAGGCGGAUGAAUAAGUCAGUGGUGAAAGGCUGCAGCUUAACUGUAGACUUGACGUUGAUACUGUUUAUCUUGAGUAUGGUCAAGGCAGGCGGAGUGUGUAAUGUAGCGGUGAAAUGCUUAGAUAUUACAAGGAACACCGAUUGCGAAGGCAGCUUGCUGGGCCAUUACUGACGCUGAUGCACGAAAGCGUGGGGAGCGAACAG